rnacentral:rRNA from 1 species
UGGGGGAAUUUUGGACAAUGGGCGAAAGCCUGAUCCAGCAAUGCCGCGUGUGUGAAGAAGGCCUUCGGGUUGUAAAGCACUUUUGUCCGGGAAGAAAUCCUUGGCUCUAAUACAGUCGGGGGAUGACGGUACCGGAAGAAUAAGCACCGGCUAACUACGUGCCAGCAGCCGCGGUAAUACGUAGGGUGCAAGCGUUAAUCGGAAUUACUGGGCGUAAAGCGUGCGCAGGCGGUUUGCUAAGACCGAUGUGAAAUCCCCGGGCUCAACCCGGGAACUGCAUUGGUGACUGGCAGGCUAGAGUAUGGCAGAGGGGGGUAGAAUUCCACGUGUAGCAGUGAAAUGCGUAGAGAUGUGAGGAAGUACCGAUGGCGAAGGCAGCCCCCCUGGGCCAAUACUGACGCUCAUGCACGAAAGCGUGGGGAGCAAACAGGAUUAGAUACCCCUGGUAGUCCACGCCCUAAACGAUGUCAACUAGUUGUUGGGGAUUCAUUUCCUUAGUAACGUAGCUAACGCGUGAAGUUGACCGCCUGGGGAGUACGGUCGCAAGAUUAAAACUCAAAUGAAUUGACGGGGUCAUA